ACGGAAGGCAGCAGUGGGGAAUAUUGGACAAUGGGGGAAACCCUGAUCCAGCGACGCCGCGUGAGUGAAGAAGUAUUUCGGUAUGUAAAGCUCUAUCAGCAGGGAAGAUAAUGACGGUACCUGACUAAGAAGCCCCGGCUAACUACGUGCCAGCAGCCGCGGUAAUACGUAGGGGGCAAGCGUUAUCCGGAUUUACUGGGUGUAAAGGGAGCGUAGGCGGUGAUGCAAGUCAGAAGUGAAAACCCGGGGCUCAACCCCGUGGAUUGCUUUUGAGACUGUGUUGCUGGAGUACAGGAGGGGCAGGCGGAAUUCCUGGUGUAGCGGUGAAAUGCGUAGAUAUCAGGAGGAACACCGGUGGCGAAGGCGGCCUGCUGGACUGUAACUGACGCUGAGGCUCGAAGGCGUGGGGAGCAAACAGGAUUAGAUACCCUGGUA
rnacentral:rRNA from 1 species